rnacentral:rRNA from 1 species
GACGAACGCUGGCGGCGUGCUUAACACAUGCCAGUCGAACGGGCCCGCUCUCUUUUUUGGGGGUGGGUUGAGUGGCGAACGGGUGAGUAUCACGUGAGUAACCUGCCCCCUGCUCCUGGAUAACUGCUUGAAAGGGCGGCUAAUACGGGGUGUGCCGGCUGGUCCGCAUGGGCCUGGUCGGGAUAGUUUCAUCUUCGGGUGUUUCGGUGGGGGAUGGGCUCGCGGCCUAUCAGCUUGUUGGUGGGGUGAUGGCCCACCAAGGCGGUGACGGGUAGCCGGCCUGAGAGGGUGGGCGGCCACACUGGGACUGAGACACGGCCCAGACUCCUGCGGGAGGCAGCAGUGGGGGGUAUUGCACAAUGGGCGGAAGCCUGAUGCAGCGACGUCGCGUGAGGGAUGGAGGCCUUCGGGUUGUGAACCUCUUUCUCCGGUGGUGAAGGCCCUGUCCGUUGCGGCGGGGUUGACGGUAGCCGGGUAUGAAGCGCCGGCUAACUACGUG